UCUUCCUCUUUCUUCGCUGCAGACCCUGGAAUCCUCUCUGCUCAGCAGUUAUUGAAGUGAGGAGAAGGUACGUCUCCAUGGCAACCAGGGUGAAAUGUGACCUGGGCAUAUUUACUGAGAUGCAUUCAGUGGCGCACACUCGUCGAAAAGCUGUCAUCUCUUCUGGUGUCUGCAGAGAAGGAUCAAAGCAGGAACAGGCAGCCAGCGAGAGAGGGAAAGAGAGAGAGAUUUCGGGGUGAACCAGAG